GGAAGGCCCCCCCGGGAGCAUCGUAUGGCAGAAGCAGGCACGAAGCUAAGAGACACAUUUAUUUAAAAGUGCACAAAAUACAUCAGCCUGCAGUUAUCAGCUUACCAUGACAGUCACAGAAUCAAAGUUUAAUUUGGAUAAAUAGAUUGGAAAAGAAAUGUUGUUUUCUGUUGGCAGUGGGGACACUUGCCACCAAAGAAGACCUUUGUCUUCGGUCAAAAUGCAUUUGGCAGUUUUUAACAAUAUAACAAGCUACAGUGGAGCACUGACUCUGGAUGGAGUACUCUUCAACAAAAAGAUUAGAUUGGAUUUUUUUCAUUUACAUUGAGAAACCUUCAGCACAUUCAACUUCUUUUUCUACAGAGACUAUUUUAGCAUCAUAUAUAUGUGACUGUGAUUUUUAAAACUGAGUUUUUAACUCCCGAACCGGUCUGUGUCACCUGGGUGGGAUAAUUACAAUGGUCUUCAUUGUAAUUAAAGGGUAUUUGCUUAUCUAUCUAUCUAUAUUUGGAUUCUUUCUUUGACAAACUGUUGCCAGAUUACCCAUCCCUGUGGCUUACUUGUAUAGAGCAACCAGGCUGGGAAGUCUCUGGCCUGCAUGCAUAUCUGCAGGGCCUGAAACUCUCGCGAGAGAGUGGUUCGUGGGAGAACGGGUGUCAUUACAUAUUAAUAGAAAUUCUGCCCAACACCCCUAUUCCCCACAGGUGGUUCUUCUCAGGAGUUGUGAAGGGGUAUCCACAUGGCCUUACACUCUCAUGAGUGAGUGGUCCACUCAGGAGUAGCCUCCAUCCUCAUUACAUAUGAAGAAUCACUCCUUUCAGUGGAGGCAAUGCUGAUCCUGUUACCCAGCCCUUCGCAUGAGUCAGCCUAGGGACCACAUUUGUUCCCCCAAGGGGAAGGGGCUGGGCCCUUGUUUCCCAGCAUCAUUGCACAAAAAAUAGAGCAGAGCCAUUAAAGAGUUCCUGGAUGGGGUUGCCCUUUAAACCCAACCCCAGGUAUCACCUCCCUGCCAUAUGUUCCCUUCCCAGUGCUCUCAUUGGGUUGCCUGGCUUAUGAUGCCACUGCAGCUGCAUGUGCUUGUGAACAACAUCUUGAUCACUUCAUUUUCUGAGAGCAAAGCCAUUUUGCCAUCCUGUCCCCUUUCUUUCCUUUCUGCCAGGAGUGGGGGACAGAGUAGGAAGAGGGAAUGACCACAUGUGGCUUUCUCAUUUGACAGGCUUUGAAGCUUGGGAUGGGAUGUUGUGGCAUGCCUGUUGCUGGGCAACUGCUUUAUGGGCUCAGAGAUGGGGGACAGCCAGCGAGAAGCAUUGCAGGCAUGGAGCAGGUGUGAUCCUGGGUGGGUCUGGGCCACCCUCUCUAUGAUUACGAUUCUGGAAACAACACGAAACUGCAGUUAUGAUGGCAUCUGUAUUUGGACACAACUCUGCUGCUGAAAAACCUCAGGUUGUGGUGACGAAACAUACUAUAAACUGAAGGUUCAAAUUGGAGUUUGGUGAGGCAAACCAAAAGUCUGUGCUUUUGCUGUGAAACCACAAUUGCAUGCAUUCAGACAUUCACAAAUUCAAACCUCUGUUCCAUUUAACUGCACUUUUGUGUUAUGACUGAAUGUGGCCCCUAACGAAGUCAAGAUUACCCAUGCAUUUUGUGGCUGAAUGGGAGUUUGAAACAGCAUCUCCCCAAUUCUAGACUGACACUCUAAGCCAGGCCUGCUAAACUUUGCCCCCCCCCCCCAUCCUGGUUCUUUUUGGAUGACCACUCCCAUAAUCCCCAGACACAGUGGCCAAUAGCCAAGGAUUAUGGGAGUUCUAGGCCACGAAGUUGUAGGUCUCAACUUGAUUUCUUGAGGCUCAUUGCAGUGUUUGUGUUUUCACUUCUGUAAUCACCAUAUUAAAAAUUAUUUGGU